AUGCCUGGUCCGGUGCCUGAAUCAUGGCCGGGUCUGAUUGGUGUUGAAGUGAAUGCAGCAGUUCAAAUCAUCUCUCGGGAGAGGCCUGAUAUCAGAAUUGCCCGAGUACUCCCUCCAGGAGAGGCUCCAUCCCCACCGCCACAAGACCAAGUACGCGUUAUCAUUUACAACGAUGUCAGCCAGGGCAGAUAUGUGGUUGUUCCUCCUGCACCAUACAUUGGCUAG
rnacentral:rRNA from 1 species